rnacentral:lncRNA from 1 species
UAAUUAAUAGACACGAUGACAGAAUCUUGAUUCAAGGGUAAAUGUUCAUUUUAGAAAAAAUAAAGUGUAAACAUGCUCAAGGCAAGCAUUUCACCUUAUUUUUCAGAGAACUACUCUAAAAUUUGUUAUCUUUUCAGAAACUUGUUGCAAAUUAAUUCAUAUGAUCUUUUUUAAAAGUGGAGACACAUGUUUUGUAAUUACAAGAACAUGUAUCUGCCCAUCGUAACUAUUCCUGCUGCAUGAACUUAGUGGUUUUAUGUUGCUGUCUUGUAUGACAUAGUGGUUUUAUGUUGCUGUCUUGUAUGACAUAGUGGUUUUAUGUUACUGUCUUGUAUGACAUAGUGGUUUUAUGUUGCUGUCUUGUAUGACAUAGUGGUUUUAUGUUACUGUCUUGUAUGACAUAGUGGUUUUAUGUUACUGUCUUGUAUGACAUAGUGGUUUUAUGUUACUGUCUUGUAUGACAUAGUGGUUUUAUGUUACUGUCUUGUAUGACAUCUGUCUGCCAGAGCAAAAGGUAUAAGUUGCCAGCACUAUAACACACAUUUUGCCUUGCCUACAGUAACACAAACUGCUGUUGAAACUUCCAGACUUAUGUCUUUAUAAAGUUAUAACAUUUGUUUUAUCAGUGAUAAAUUAGCCCCCCAAAGAUUCCAUUAACUCAGAUGUGUCUUUUUUUUAACCACUGUCAAAAGUAAACUAUUGGAGAGAAAAAACUGAACCUGUUGUCUAAGUUUCAUUGCUGUGAAGAGACACCGUAACCAUGGCAACUCUUACAAAGGACAACAUUAACCUGGGGCUGGCUCACAGGUUCAGAGGUUCAGUCCAUUAUUAUUAUGGCAGGAAGUAUGGUAGUCAGGCAUGGUCCUGAAGGAGCUGAGAUUUGUACCUCUUGUUUCAAAAGAAGCUCAGAGAAGUUUUCAAAGCACCCCCCCAACCCCCGUGACACACUUCCUCCAACAUGGCCACACCUAAUAGUGCCAUUGCUUGGGCCAAGCAUAUUCAGUAUGCCUGGUGUGGUUUGGGAGAAUUUCAUUAAUGUCACACUACUAUGGUUGAAGAAAAUAUACCAUAGGGUACUCGUUCCUGUGUUAGGAGCUUUUAUUGUGUGUGUCAUUACUGUGGCAUUUUGAGAGACAUCCUUAUGUCCUACAAACAGUUUUUAGAAGUGGAGUGAUUGGUUCAAAGGGUUAAACAAACAGCUUUAGGUAUUACCUUAAGGCACUUGAAACACUGUAGUUUAUGCUUCAGCUAGUUGUGUCUGCCACCACUUGGGCCCUCUGAUCCAACUGCAGGUAUUACCUUACUUUUGUUUAUCUGAAGAUUGGCUUGUUGGUUCUUCUUGUUUUUUCUUUGUAUUGAAUAACUGUAUAACUAAAAAGUGAUAUAUCACAUUUAAAUUUACAUUCCUUUCAUUAUAAGUAGGGUUACUAUGACAUUGUUACUUGUUAUUUGUAUUUCCUUUUUAUGAACCUAUUGUUCAUAAUCAUUUGUUUUUAUUUACUAAAUAGACUUAAAGUGAACACAGUAAGAUGCCAAGAUGAUCAUACUGAUGAGAGAAUCUAUUUAUGGUUGUAGUGCAUGUCUUCAGGAGUUAGUCUUAUUACUGUUAAAUAGCAAGAAGUAAAAUAUUGUUUUUAUUAACAUCAAUCUUGUGUGUAAGUGCUCUAAAAUUACUCGGUAUUUUUUUUUAAUUUUAUUGAGCAUGCUUAAUUAUAGAAAGCAUAGAAAAUCUUAUAGCAUUUCUAAUAAAUGAAGUAUUGUUUUCACCU